GAUACUGGACUUGGUGGAGAAGGAUGGUAUUAAUGUGUUUCUAGGUGGCUGCCUGGACAAGAGAGUUCAGCCUUUGGGAGAUAAAGCAGGAUAUAAACGGUCUCACUCUGUCACCCAGGCUGGAAUGCAGUGACGCAAUCUCAGCUCACUGUAGACUCAACCUCCUGGGCUCAAGCGAUUCUCCCACCUCAGCCUUCUGACUUUGCCUCGGGAGAGAUAAAAGAGAGUCGAUUCCGAGUACAGCUGGGCCACUGGGACUGCCUUCCUGCCUGUGAGGAGGAGAGCGUGUCAAUGAGCCAGAAGGGGCUAACAGAGGUUGUACUUACAGUUUCUCAAGUUUUGCUAUCAUAAACACUCAAAGUACACCAUGCCUGCAAGCUGAAGGCUGACAGGAUAGAAAACUUGCACAAGACAGUUAACAUUGUAG
rnacentral:lncRNA from 1 species